GUGUCAGCAGCCGCGGUAAUACGUAGGGUGCGAGCGUUGUCCGGAAUUAUUGGGCGUAAAGAGCUCGUAGGCGGUUUGUUGCGUCGGCUGUGAAAACUUCACGCUUAACGUGGAGCCUGCAGUCGAUACGGGCAGACUUGAGUUCGGCAGGGGAGACUGGAAUUCCUGGUGUAGCGGUGAAAUGCGCAGAUAUCAGGAGGAACACCGGUGGCGAAGGCGGGUCUCUGGGCCGAUACUGACGCUGAGGAGCGAAAGCGUGGGGAGCGAACAGGAUUAGAUACCCUGGUAGUCCACGCCGUAAACGGUGGGUGCUAGGUGUGGGGGACUUCCACGUCCUCCGUGCCGCAGCUAACGCAUUAAGCACCCCGCCUGGGGAGUACGGCCGCAAGGCUAAA
rnacentral:rRNA from 1 species